AUCGGAAAUGCUAGUAAAGUGGUUGUAAUUCACUUUCACUGUUUCUACAUUUACUAAAGUUUCAAUGACAGAAUCCUUGAGCCCAAUAAGCUUCGCAUGUGAGAUAUCAAAGUAGACGAGAUUGCUAUAGCUAAAUGCCGGAUCAAUUGUAGUCAGUGGACAAAACGAGAAGUCGAUGAAUGUAGCUGACGGAUUGGAAUAUUCGUAAAAAGAAAGUAAAUUGCAAGCUACAUUGAUGCUAUUUAGUUUCGGACAUUCAGAUAAACUGGCGAUGUUAGUAAUCGCAUUAUAACUAAGGUCAAUUGUUUCCAGAUUUUUUAGCAAGCCUAUUUCCUGUGGAAGCCGAUUAGAUAAAUCAUUAAAUUGUAGAUAUAGAUGCUUCAAUUUAACAAGAGAGCCAAUUUUGCUAGAUAUCUGUGACAAUAAAUUAUGCGAAAAGUUAAGAGUCUCCAAUUGGGACAACUCAGUAAUUAUUAAAGGGAAAGUCACAAAAUUAUUGUAGGAUAAAUCAAGAUAGGUUAGAUUCACCAAAUAUCUAGUAGAAUGGGGAAGGAAGAACAGCUUAUUAUUAGCUAUAUUCAAUUCUUUCAGAGAAUUUCGACUAAGCCCAGAGAAUAUAAGAGGAUCCAAUUCAUAUAUAUCGUUACGAGACAUGUUCAAAACUUCCAAUUGGCGA